CUCCAGGAGAGGAGUGGGCAGAAGAAUUGUGGAUGCCUUGGAUAACCGUACAGAGGUCCAAGCUUGACAAACCUAUUCCACAGCCUCCCCCAUUAGAAGGGGAGAUGCAGGGUGAAGCCGAAGGAGAGUAUGCUUCUGCAGGCCAGCCAGAGGAGGAGUUGCUGCUGGCAGGGCUCACACACUCCCUGUAGGCCCCAAGAGCUUUAGUGCCAAGGCUUGGCUCCAGGGUCAGAGAGUCGCCUGACGGAGUGAUCUCAAUUCUUGGACUGGAGGCAGGGAUGUUCCCCAGUCUUGAUGCCAGCCCCAGGGAGUCAAGCACGGCUCCAGACAGGGUUUCUGUUGUGGGGCUGUGAGAGGAGGUGUCUUGACAAGGGUCUGGCUGGCUGGAGCUGGAGAUGUAGGCAGUGUGAUUGUCGUCCACCAGCAGAGGAGGCUGGUUGUUAUUCUGAAGGAGAACCCUUGAGUCAUCUGUCAAAAAUGAGUGCAGAUUGUGCUAACACUUGGAGGAAAUAAACCAGUUCCAAGGCAACUGACUUAUAUCAGAAGGUAAAGUAUAGCAACACAUGUACCUAUUACUUAUUUCUUAGAAAUCACAAGUAUAUAACUGGUCAGAUGAUAAGAUGUUUUUCAGUUAAGAAGAAAAAAACCCAGUCCUGUGACACCUUUUUUUAUUUUGCUUCUCAUUCCAUAUACAGUAAAAUGCUAUGCUCCUAAAUUCAUUACUACAUGUCAUAACAUUUGUAGUCAUUAGUAAUGUCUGUGUACAUUAGCAGUAAACUAUUGAACCAUGCAGGCAUUUUCUGUUCUAACUCUCUGAAACAACCUCCCUGAAGAAAUCAGACUUGUGAGCUCCUUAUCCCCUUUUAAAUCCCUCUUUAAAAAUUCCCUCUCAUAAGUGUGCUUUCACAGGGUUUGUGUCCUGAAUUCACUUUUAUAAGCCAAGCCACUUCUUAAUAGCUUUAUUACACAAAGGCAUUCACUUUAAUGUAGUGAUUUGUUCUUAUUAGUAUUUGUAUUGAAUUUUGAAAAUUGCAUAAACUUUGACUGAAACAAUCACUAAAGUGGAUUCAUCUUCACGUUGCUUUAUUCACAGUACUGGUUAAAUUUAACACAUUGAUUACUCUAUCAAGGCUGUUUACCUAAAAACCAGGGGUUGUGGAUUAAUCCUCACUCUGCAUGAUCAGUUAAGUCAACUUAACUGAUCAUACUGCAUCUAGAUGUACAUGCGCUGCUCACAAAACUCAGUUCCACUAUAGACUGUAGAAUUGUGUGAAAAGUGCAGAUAUUGCCUCAAACCCCAGUUGAAGUUGAAAUGCAUCACACUUGCUGCAUAAAAUGUAUUUUAAUGUUAUUGCCGCUUGAAGUUUACUUGUACCAAUUAUUUGAUUUAAACACCAUUGGAUAGUUUAGGUAAAUAUUGAAUAUGUCUUAGAAACAAUGUAACUAUGACUGUUAAAUGAAAAAAGACAGCGAGACACUAUGCAAGUAGCUGACCUGACACGGAGCAAUUGAGGUUUAGUGAUUACCACUGUCGGUAGUUAUUUAUUGAAUUUGUGUCAAACACAGUUGUCCACAGGCAAUAAAAACACACACAAAAAAAAACAUAAUCCCAUAUCAGCACGUCCCAUCACCAGAAGAGGGCCAUAAUAACAUCAUACAUCUGGUGAAAUAAACACCAAAUGCACACAAAUUGGUGUUUGCAUAGAUUUUCAACUAUAGAUGUGUAGGUCAUUUGAGACUCAACAUUUGUUUUCCAUUGUGAGGAAGCACCAACUCCAAACCCUUGUUUUGUUAAGAAUGUCAACAUUUAUUAACAGUCUUCUUUAUUUCAUUUUAGUGUCUCAUAUCCAUGAACAGAGGCAAAUAAACAUAUUACACAUUUUAAUAAAGUUUAGCUCUUUGAAAUAUAUUAAACAAACAUACUGUCAUAAAAGCCAUUACAAUUUUCUGAUUUUUAGUCCUAUGGUGAUUUACAAGUGAGAGUGCCUCUGCAGGCCCUCAACCUUUAUAUGUGACUGAGAGGGAAUGGACAUUUUUUAAUACGUUUUGAACAGAAGCACUUUUACUUUUGGUAUGUUUUUGAAACAGUAACACAUUUUGUGUUGUGAGCACGCUACUAAUCACCUUACCUCUCCUCCCCUCAUUUACCCCCACCCCGCCUCACCUUACUUCAACUUACCACGGCCAUGUUGGAGGUAACUUCUGCAAGGAAACAUCGAGACAGGGGGAGGAUCUGCACUAAUGCGACCCUUUUAUUAUAGGCUUUUUUACAGGCAGCCUGUUUCUUUUGACAGGAAAGAUUUCAGUUAUGUUGCCUGAGGCUAGUUUAUGUGUACAGAGGAUAUACAACCUGAUAAUCUAUUUAUCUCCAAGAUUGAACCAUAAUGAAUUAGAUUUUAAGUUUAAGAUUUACUAAACAUGUCCAUCCAAUAAAAAGAAAUGAAUUAAUAAACACUAUCAAGUAUAUUAGCUAGAGAAAUGGUUGCCUGGUAUUCUUUAAGGAAUUGGCAGAUGUGUUGCUUCAUUCAAAAUCAAACUUUAUUUAAAAGUCUGUGUUUAAACAGUCCUUCAAAAAUAUUGAUAAGAUGAGAAUAUAACUUAUGGACACUUCCUUUUUCCAAAUGUUUUAUUUUUAUUGUACAUUAAUAUUUUGUUUACACUCUUUCUGUCAUUUCUGCCUGCAUUCAUUUUAAAAAUAUAUUUGGAUUUUUAAUCUAUUUAAUUACGACAUAACAGACAUUCAACAGAGCUGGAGCCUCUAAUAUAUAUUUUUGUAUCAUAUUACAUUUUUUACAUGUACUUUCAUUACAACCAUUGUUUUUUUUAUAAUGUUGAAUUCCAGAGGUUAAUGGCAACACAACAUGUUAGAAAUCUCAUCACUUCUUUUCAAAAAUCCCGGUUUCAAUAAGUUUAUGAUUACAUUUAAAAAUAUAUAAUGAAAACCUUUUAUUAGUGUCAAAAAAAUAUAUAAGAAAGACAAUUGUAUGUCAAAUCCUGCACACUUUAACUUUUCAUGCCUGAAAAAAUCUUUCUGAAGAGAAAAAGCUCUUGAGGCCAGAACUUGGUCACCAGCAGACAAUUCUUCAUUUUAAGAGUCACAAGCUACACAGAAAGACAUUAUGCUAAACACAAGUGACCGUUUCACAUCAUUUGAAAGCAUUUAAUCAAACUUUUUGAUCUGAAAAUAUUUAGAUUUAUUUGACUUGAAAAAGUACAGAUUAGCUAUAGUUAUCCUUAGUUUAAUCCAGCAUCAGAUUGAAAAAAAACAGAGCUUGUUUGAUAGAGAAAACAGACCUGGGCAGGAAUACUAAGCUUUUUAACUGUUUAUUUAGCUCUGUACUCAAGCUGUAAAAAGUCUAAUCACCCAUAAUACCAAGUAUUGGCAAUGCACCAAAAUAUACAUUUAUGAGUGUAUUUUAUUUCAGUGAACAAAAUAUGUCUCUACAUAAAACAAUAUUACACAUAUAUUACAUUUAAAUAUAUAUAUAUAUAUAUAUAUAUAUAUAUAUAUAUACAUAUAUAUAUAUAUAUAUAUAUAUAUA